CGCUGGCGGCACGCCUAAUACAUGCAAGUCGAACGAAGUAGCAAUACUUAGUGGCAGACGGGUGAGUAACAUGUGGGUAUCUUCCCUAUGGUGAGGAAUAACACGAGGAAACUUGUGCUAAUACCUCAUAAGUCUUUACGGAGAAAGCUUUAUGCGCCAUUGGAUGAGCCCGCACUUGAUUAGUUUGUUGGUGGGGUAAUGGCCUACCAAGACUUUGAUCAAUAGCUGAUUUGAGAGGAUGAUCAGCCACAUUGGGACUGAGACACGGCCCAAACUCCUACGGGAGGCAGCAGUAGGGAAUCUUGCACAAUGGAGGAAACUCUGAUGCAGCGAUGCCGCGUGAGUGAAGAAGGCCUUUGGGUUGUAAAGCUCUUUCGUCGGGGAAGAAAAUGACUGUACCCGAAUAAGAAGGUCCGGCUAACUUCGUGCCAGCAGCCGCGGUAAUACGAAGGGACCUAGCGUAGUUCGGAAUUACUGGGCUUAAAGAGUUCGUAGGUGGUUAAAAAAGUUGGUGGUGAAAUCCCAGAGCUUAACUCUGGAACUGCCAUCAAAACUUUUUAGCUAGAGUAUGAUAGAGGAAAGCAGAAUUUCUAGUGUAGAGGUGAAAUUCGUAGAUAUUAGAAAGAAUACCGAUUGCGAAGGCAGCUUUCUGGAUCAUUACUGACACUGAGGAACGAAAGCAUGGGUAGCGAAGAGGAUUAGAUACCCUCGUAGUCCAUGCCGUAAACGAUGUGUGUUAGACGUUGGAAAUUUAUUUUCAGUGUCGCAGCGAAAGCAAUAAACACACCGCCUGGGGAGUACGACCGC
rnacentral:rRNA from 1 species